CCUACGGGUGGCAGCAGUGGGGAAUAUUGGUCAAUGGGCGCAAGCCUGACCCAGCAACGCCGCGUGAAGGAAGAAGGCUUUCGGGUUGUAAACUUCUUUUUUCAGGGACGAAGCAAGUGACGGUACCUGACGAAUAAGCCACGGCUAACUACGUGCCAGCAGCCGCGGUAAUACGUAGGUGGCAAGCGUUAUCCGGAUUGACUGGGUGUAAAGGGCGUGUAGGCGGGACUGCAAGUCAGAUGUGAAAACUACGGGCUCAACCUGUUGACUGCAUUUGAAACUGGAGUUCUUGAGUACUGGAGAGGCAGACGGAAUUCCUGGUGUAGCGAUGAAAUGCGUAGAUAUUAGGAGGAACACCAGUGGCGAAGGCGGUCUGCUGGACAGCAACUGACGCUGAGGCGCGAAAGCGUGGGGAGCAAACAGGAUUAGAUACCCUAGUAGUC
rnacentral:rRNA from 1 species